rnacentral:lncRNA from 1 species
GCUGAAGGUGAAUGGUCCAAAACAAACAGGUUGCAAUGAAAGGAAGAAUGGUUCAUUUCGUACGAGAAGAAUCGAACGGAAAACUAAAGGAGGUAAGCUUGUAUAUUCCUUGUAUGGGUUUUACAAUAAUGCAAUGACUAUGUUACAAGGGCUCGUGGAAAGGUAUCGGAUGCAAGGGUGGGUCCAAGCGUCAGAUAUAGCUAAACUUAAGGUUGUGUUUGGAUCCUGGAUUUGGUUGAGAGAAAAGGAAGAAAAUAAAAAGUUAGAUGAUCCAACC